rnacentral:rRNA from 1 species
UUAAGCGACUAAGCGUACACGGUGGAUGCCCUGGCAGUCAGAGGCGAUGAAGGACGUGCUAAUCUGCGAUAAGCGUCGGUAAGGUGAUAUGAACCGUUAUAACCGGCGAUUUCCGAAUGGGGAAACCCAGUGUGUUUCGACACACUAUCAUUAACUGAAUCCAUAGGUUAAUGAGGCGAACCGGGGGAACUGAAACAUCUAAGUACCCCGAGGAAAAGAAAUCAACCGAGAUUCCCCCAGUAGCGGCGAGCGAACGGGGAGCAGCCCAGAGCCUGAAUCAGUGUGUGUGUUAGUGGAAGCGUCUGGAAAGGCGCGCGAUACAGGGUGACAGCCCCGUACACAAAAAUGCACAUGCUGUGAGCUCGAUGAGUAGGGCGGGACACGUGGUAUCCUGUCUGAAUAUGGGGGGACCAUCCUCCAAGGCUAAAUACUCCUGACUGACCGAUAGUGAACCAGUACCGUGAGGGAAAGGCGAAAAGAACCCCGGCGAGGGGAGUGAAAAAGAACCUGAAACCGUGUACGUACAAGCAGUGGGAGCACGCUUAGGCGUGUGACUGCGUACCUUUUGUAUAAUGGGUCAGCGACUUAUAUUCUGUAGCAAGGUUAACCGAAUAGGGGAGCCGAAGGGAAACCGAGUCUUAACUGGGCGUUAAGUUGCAGGGUAUAGACCCGAAACCCGGUGAUCUAGCCAUGGGCAGGUUGAAGGUUGGGUAACACUAACUGGAGGACCGAACCGACUAAUGUUGAAAAAUUAGCGGAUGACUUGUGGCUGGGGGUGAAAGGCCAAUCAAACCGGGAGAUAGCUGGUUCUCCCCGAAAGCUAUUUAGGUAGCGCCUCGUGAAUUCAUCUCCGGGGGUAGAGCACUGUUUCGGCAAGGGGGUCAUCCCGACUUACCAACCCGAUGCAAACUGCGAAUACCGGAGAAUGUUAUCACGGGAGACACACGGCGGGUGCUAACGUCCGUCGUGAAGAGGGAAACAACCCAGACCGCCAGCUAAGGUCCCAAAGUCAUGGUUAAGUGGGAAACGAUGUGGGAAGGCCCAGACAGCCAGGAUGUUGGCUUAGAAGCAGCCAUCAUUUAAAGAAAGCGUAAUAGCUCACUGGUCGAGUCGGCCUGCGCGGAAGAUGUAACGGGGCUAAACCAUGCACCGAAGCUGCGGCAGCGACGCUUAUGCGUUGUUGGGUAGGGGAGCGUUCUGUAAGCCUGUGAAGGUGUGCUGUGAGGCAUGCUGGAGGUAUCAGAAGUGCGAAUGCUGACAUAAGUAACGAUAAAGCGGGUGAAAAGCCCGCUCGCCGGAAGACCAAGGGUUCCUGUCCAACGUUAAUCGGGGCAGGGUGAGUCGACCCCUAAGGCGAGGCCGAAAGGCGUAGUCGAUGGGAAACAGGUUAAUAUUCCUGUACUUGGUGUUACUGCGAAGGGGGGACGGAGAAGGCUAUGUUGGCCGGGCGACGGUUGUCCCGGUUUAAGCGUGUAGGCUGGUUUUCCAGGCAAAUCCGGAAAAUCAAGGCUGAGGCGUGAUGACGAGGCACUACGGUGCUGAAGCAACAAAUGCCCUGCUUCCAGGAAAAGCCUCUAAGCAUCAGGUAACAUCAAAUCGUACCCCAAACCGACACAGGUGGUCAGGUAGAGAAUACCAAGGCGCUUGAGAGAACUCGGGUGAAGGAACUAGGCAAAAUGGUGCCGUAACUUCGGGAGAAGGCACGCUGAUAUGUAGGUGAAGUCCCUCGCGGAUGGAGCUGAAAUCAGUCGAAGAUACCAGCUGGCUGCAACUGUUUAUUAAAAACACAGCACUGUGCAAACACGAAAGUGGACGUAUACGGUGUGACGCCUGCCCGGUGCCGGAAGGUUAAUUGAUGGGGUCAGCGCAAGCGAAGCUCUUGAUCGAAGCCCCGGUAAACGGCGGCCGUAACUAUAACGGUCCUAAGGUAGCGAAAUUCCUUGUCGGGUAAGUUCCGACCUGCACGAAUGGCGUAAUGAUGGCCAGGCUGUCUCCACCCGAGACUCAGUGAAAUUGAACUCGCUGUGAAGAUGCAGUGUACCCGCGGCAAGACGGAAAGACCCCGUGAACCUUUACUAUAGCUUGACACUGAACAUUGAGCCUUGAUGUGUAGGAUAGGUGGGAGGCUUAGAAGUGUGGACGCCAGUCUGCAUGGAGCCGACCUUGAAAUACCACCCUUUAAUGUUUGAUGUUCUAACGUUGACCCGUAAUCCGGGUUGCGGACAGUGUCUGGUGGGUAGUUUGACUGGGGCGGUCUCCUCCUAAAGAGUAACGGAGGAGCACGAAGGUUGGCUAAUCCUGGUCGGACAUCAGGAGGUUAGUGCAAUGGCAUAAGCCAGCUUGACUGCGAGCGUGACGGCGCGAGCAGGUGCGAAAGCAGGUCAUAGUGAUCCGGUGGUUCUGAAUGGAAGGGCCAUCGCUCAACGGAUAAAAGGUACUCCGGGGAUAACAGGCUGAUACCGCCCAAGAGUUCAUAUCGACGGCGGUGUUUGGCACCUCGAUGUCGGCUCAUCACAUCCUGGGGCUGAAGUAGGUCCCAAGGGUAUGGCUGUUCGCCAUUUAAAGUGGUACGCGAGCUGGGUUUAGAACGUCGUGAGACAGUUCGGUCCCUAUCUGCCGUGGGCGCUGGAGAACUGAGGGGGGCUGCUCCUAGUACGAGAGGACCGGAGUGGACGCAUCACUGGUGUUCGGGUUGUCAUGCCAAUGGCACUGCCCGGUAGCUAAAUGCGGAAGAGAUAAGUGCUGAAAGCAUCUAAGCACGAAACUUGCCCCGAGAUGAGUUCUCCCUGACCCCUUAAGAGUCCUGAAGGAACGUUGAAGACGACGACGUUGAUAGGCCGGGUGUGUAAGCGCAGCGAUGCGUUGAGCUAACCGGUACUAAUGAACCGUGAGGCUUAACCUU